rnacentral:lncRNA from 1 species
GGAGUCACAGGCAGAAAAGUCAGAGAACAGUUUUCGGGUCUGAGAUUCGAGUCGACUCCAGUGGAACGCGAGUCGACUCCGAUGGUUGGCAAGUCGACUCCAAAGAAAGCAAGAGUCGACUCUCAGCGGUACACAAAGAAAAAGUCAGAGAGCAUUUUAUGGACUCUGAGAUUCGAGUUGACUCCCGCAAUACGCGAGUCGACUCCAAGACACCGCGACC